rnacentral:rRNA from 1 species
AGCGAACGCUGGCGGCAGGCCUAACACAUGCAAGUCGAACGAACCUUUCGGGGUUAGUGGCGGACGGGUGAGUAACACGUGGGAACGUGCCUUUAGGUUCGGAAUAACUCAGGGAAACUUGUGCUAAUACCGAAUGUGCCCUUCGGGGGAAAGAUUUAUCGCCUUUAGAGCGGCCCGCGUCUGAUUAGCUAGUUGGUUGAGGUAAUGGCUCACCAAGGCGACGAUCAGUAGCUGGUCUGAGAGGAUGAUCAGCCACAUUGGGACUGAGACACGGCCCAAACUCCUACGGGAGGCAGCAGUAGGGAAUCUUGCGCAAUGGGCGAAAGCCUGACGCAGCCAUGCCGCGUGAAUGAUGAAGGUCUUAGGAUUGUAAAAUUCUUUCACCGGGGACGAUAAUGACGGUACCCGGAGAAGAAGCCCCGGCUAACUUUGUG